GACGAACGCUGGCGGCGUGCUUAACACAUGCAAGUCGAACGGAAAGGCCCUGCUUUUGUGGGGUGCUCGAGUGGCGAACGGGUGAGUAACACGUGGGUAACCUGCCCUUGACUUUGGGAUAACUUCAGGAAACUGGGGCUAAUACCGGAUAGGAGCUCCUGCUGCAUGGUGGGGGUUGGAAAGUUUCGGCGGUUGGGGAUGGACUCGCGGCUUAUCAGCUUGUUGGUGGGGUAGUGGCUUACCAAGGCUUUGACGGGUAGCCGGCCUGAGAGGGUGACCGGCCACAUUGGGACUGAGAUACGGCCCAGACUCCUACGGGAGGCAGCAGUGGGGAAUAUUGCACAAUGGGCGGAAGCCUGAUGCAGCAACGCCGCGUGCGGGAUGACGGCCUUCGGGUUGUAAACCGCUUUCGCCUGUGACGAAGCGUGAGUGACGGUAAUGGGUAAAGAAGCGCCGGCUAACUACGUG
rnacentral:rRNA from 1 species